rnacentral:rRNA from 1 species
UACAGAGGUCUCAAGCGUUGUUCGGAUUCAUUGGGCGUAAAGGGUGCGUAGGUGGCGCGCUAAGUCAGGUGUGAAAUCUCGGAGCUUAACUCCGAAACUGCAUUUGAUACUGGCGUGCUUGAGGACUGGAGAGGAGACUGGAAUUCACGGUGUAGCAGUGAAAUGCGUAGAUAUCGUGAGGAAGACCAGUGGCGAAGGCGGGUCUCUGGACAGUUCCUGACACUGAGGCAGCGAAGGCCAGGGAGCAAACGGG